CUUGAAGAGCACCAAAAAAGCCGAAGCAAAUAGACCUACUGUGCCCCCUUGUUCUUCUCUCUCUCUCUCUCAAGGAUUCACCAUUUAGAUCGAGCCAAAGAUGUUCCUCACAAGGACCGAGUAUGACCGAGGAGUGAACACUUUCUCUCCUGAAGGCAGAUUGUUUCAGGUUGAAUAUGCUAUUGAAGCCAUUAAGGUAAUCUAAACCCUCCCCUAAAAACCCUCUUUGUUUACAUUGGAAGUUUUCUUUCUUGGAAAAUUUUCGCUAUCCGCAAUAGAUGUUUAACCUUUUAUUAAUUUCAUUUGCCUAAAACAGUUUUCCUUGGGAUUAUUUCAACUGGGUUAUAAACGAUUAGUCGUUUUUUAUUCCAUUAACGUGUUAAUUUUUAUUUUUAACGAUGAUAGACAUGAUUGGCUACGAUUAAUUGUGAUGUUAUCUAUAAUACUCGAAGGCAUUAUUGGGACAUCAGGAACGCACUUGUGCCCCUCUUCUAACCCACUGGCCAACAGCUUACCUAUCGCCCCCUCACCCUCCCCAUCCCAUCCCAACCCAGAAAAAGAAAGGGAUUGUUACUGAAGUCAAGCAGAUGCUUAGCUGAUUAAAAAUAACAUGUUUUAUUUUAAUUACAGCUAGGUUCAACUGCAAUUGGGUUAAAGACAAAAGAAGGUGUUGUGCUUGCAGUUGAGAAGCGUAUCACUUCACCACUGCUGGUUUGCCUUUUUCUCCUUAUGUCUUUUUAUUCAUAUGAAAUGCAUGCCAUUUACAGCUUUAAUAUGAUUAAGUAAACCCACAAUAUUGUCAGCCUGAGUUGUGAAUCCUUUUUUUUUUUUUAAACUUCAUCUGUAAUGGUUUUGAUACCGUGCAUUCCAUUUGUAUCUAGUUACUUAUUGGGGCAAAUUUGACAUUAGAUCCAUAUGGUAGCAUGCAUUCAAAACUUUCACUGAAGUGGCAUUCCUCUAUAUUUUUUUUGCUAGAGAAACUUCUAUUUUGACAAUUUAUCAAAACUCCAUCAAUAUUGGUACAAGUGUAGAACUUUCAUGAUUUGCAUGUUUAUCUGUUUGAAACUUGUUCUAACUGAUUCAGGCAUUCAGCAUGACUAAUUUGUGUGCACUACAUCAUGGAAAUUGAUGUGUCAUAGUUGUUGUGGAUCGCAAUUUGUUAGUGUCAUUAUUUCUUUUCAAUUCUCUUUCAGGAGCCCAGUAGUGUGGAAAAGGUUAUGGAAAUUGAUGAGCAUAUUGGAUGUGCUAUGAGUGGAUUAAUUGCAGAUGCUCGUACACUUGUUGAGCAUGCACGUGUGGAAACUCAGAACCAUAGAUUCUCGUAUGGUGAGCCCAUGACAGUGGAGUCUACAACCCAAGCACUCUGUGAUCUGGCUUUGCGAUUUGGUGAAGGCGAUGAAGAAUCCAUGGUACAGCAUUUUCACUCACUGAAAAUUUUAAUAAUUCAUUUCUGCCUGUUUCAUUUCUUUGUGAAAUGCUCAGAAAAUAAUGACUAUCAUUCAUUCAAUAACCUUCACUUGCAUAAUACCAUUUACAUAACAAUGUAAAAUGGUUAUUUAUUUCUCUUUUUUAUUUUUUUUCAUUGUUCUGUGCUUCUUUUUGCCAAUAAUUUCUGCGAUUCCAUCAUGAAGUUCAGUAUCAGUUGCAUGGAUGCAUCUUUCAAAUCCAUUUUUGCAAUGAUGGUCAUUGUCUAGUCUAGUGUCGGGGACAGGGAUGAUCUUCUGGGGGUAAGGAACAGUAGUUAACAAUGGUUAGAAUCUGUUUUGUAAUGGAUUCACAAUCGAGUGAAUUAGGUACUGAUAUAAUUGUGCUAUGAGCCAUUGUAGAGACAAUACAAGAAUUCAAUACAACCUCUUUCUAAAUUCUUCUUCUCCUCUCUCCGAAAUCUUCCCUUUCUUCUUGUCUCUCACUCGUCCUCUUUUUUCCCUUCUUUCUCACUUUUCCUCUCUUUCUCGCUGUCCAAACACCUUAAUCUAGUCACCAGAAUCCUGGGGAUUAACCGCAAGAUAUUUUUAAUAUUGGAAAUUUUAGAAAUCUUUGUUUGUCAACAGCUGUUAGGGCUGCUAUCAGUUCUAUGCAGCUAUCAAUUUUCAAUUAAAUUGUAUUGAAAUUAUAUCAUACCAGUUAGUUCUACCAUCUUUUAGAAAGUUAUAGAAGCAAGUUUCUAUACUUGCUCCUUUGCUGUGCAAAUAAAAGUAAAACAACAUUCAUGUAGUUAUGUGCUGUUAAAUCGUGGAUAUAUCACAUUUUUACACUCAUGUUAUUUGCUUUUGAUUUAUGGUUAUCUUAUUUCUUUGCAGUCUCGUCCAUUUGGGGUGUCACUUCUCAUUGCUGGUCAUGAUGAGAAUGGUCCUAGCCUGUAUUAUACAGAUCCAUCUGGCUCAUUUUGGCAAUGCAAUGCAAAGGCUAUUGGUUCAGGAUCAGAGGGUGCAGAUAGCUCUUUGCAAGAGCAAUACAACAAGGUAUUGAUACUUACACUCUCAUGGGCCUUUUCUUCCUCCAUCCCCUUCCCAAUGCUGAAUAACUUGGUAGCUCCAUGAGUGGCUCAAAAUGAAUGUCACACUUCAAUGUGGUCACCUGUGCUAAAUACGAUGGUUUGCCAUCUGUGCUAAUAUUAGAAGUCAGUAAGAUUUUUCCACCAUCUCAUGUACGUUUGAUUUGAUUUCUGAUGUGAUGAUGUAACUUGCUAAUUUGUGCAGGACAUGACUCUUCAAGAGGCUGAGGCAAUUGCACUUUCCAUUCUGAAGCAAGUUAUGGAAGAAAAGGUAAAAGUUAUACUGUUUACCUACAUUGGAUCUCAAUCUCAACAUUAUGCAUAUGAUUUAUCAUUUAAUGCUUUAAAUUAUUUAUUCAUUUAGCAUCACCGAUGGAAAUAUACUAUCAUAUAUUGCCUCUACAUUAAAUUUUCACCAACUAAAUCGUGCUAUUGAUUUCAGGUGACUCCCAACAAUGUUAACAUUGCAAGGGUGGCUCCAACAUAUCAUUUGUAUACCCCUGCAGAGGUGGAGACCAUCAUUAGUCGCUUAUAAGAAGAAAAAACAAUGUCGUGAAAUUUCCUUCGACAUGAUUUUUAUUCCGAUUUCUUGCCUAAACUGCUUGUCUCCUUAUUAGUUGGGAAAGCAGAGGAUUGGAAUUCAACACAA
rnacentral:misc_RNA from 1 species